rnacentral:rRNA from 1 species
AGCUCCAAUAGCGUAUAUUAAAGUUGUUGCAGUUAAAACGCUCGUAGUCGGAUUUCGGGGCGGGUGCGCCGGUCUGCCGAUGGGUAUGCACUGGCGGGUCCGUCCUUCCUUCCGGAGACUAGCCCUACUCUUAACUGAGCGGGGUUGGGAGUCGGAUCGUUUACUUUGAAAAAUCAGAGUGUUUCAAGCAGGCAACUCGCUCUUGCAUGGAUUAGCAUGGGAUAAUGAAAU